AUUGAACGCUGGCGGCAUGCUUUACACAUGCAAGUCGAACGGCAGCGGAGAGUGCUUGCCCUCUGCCGGCGAGUGGCGAACGGGUGAGUAACAUAUUGGAACGUACCGAGUAAAGGGGGAUAACUAUCCGAAAGGAUAGCUAAUACCGCAUACGCUUUGAGAAGGAAAGUGGGGGAUCUUCGGACCUCACGUUAUUCGAGCGGCCAAUAUCUGAUUAGCUAGUUGGUGGGGUAAAGGCCUACCAAGGCGACGAUCAGUAGCGGGUCUGAGAGGACGAUCCGCCACACUGGGACUGAGACACGGCCCAGACUCCUACGGGAGGCAGCAGUGGGGAAUUUUGGACAAUGGGCGCAAGCCUGAUCCAGCCAUGCCGCGUGUCUGAAGAAGGCCUUCGGGUUGUAAAGGACUUUUGUUAGGGAAGAAAAGAAAUGGGUUAAUACCCCAUUUUGCUGACGGUACCUAAAGAAUAAGCACCGGCUAACUACGUG
rnacentral:rRNA from 1 species